rnacentral:lncRNA from 1 species
UUUCAUUCAACCCAAUUUUCACCAAGUACAUUUUUAAGCAUAAUGCAUUACUCAAAUUGUAGUAACAAUUUAGACAAAGGAAAGGUAUUUACAAAGUGUCAUGUGUACACGUAUGAAUCCAUAUGUAGUCAUCCGCAAGUAUCUACAACAUAGUAGUUUACAAAAACAUCCAUGAAAUGAUAUUUUACAACCUAGAUUGAUAAAAAUAUAUCACUCAACAAUUUAGAAAACAGUGCAAUCCAGUUUGAACAAACAAAACACUUAAACUAUUGAAGUUCUUGUCGUCGGC